rnacentral:rRNA from 1 species
AGGACGAACGCUGGCGGCGUGCUUAACACAUGCAAGUCGAGCGGUAAGGCCUUUCGGGGUACACGAGCGGCGAACGGGUGAGUAACACGUGAGCAAUCUGCCCUUCACUUUGGGAUAACCUCCGGAAACGGUGGCUAAUACCGAAUGCGACCACUCCACGCAUGUGGUGGUGGUGGAAAGUUCUGGCGGUGGAGGAUGAGCUCGCGGCCUAUCAGCUUGUUGGUGAGGUAAUGGCUCACCAAGGCUUCGACGGGUAGCCGGCCUGAGAGGGUGACCGGCCACACUGGGACUGAGACACGGCCCAGACUCCUACGGGAGGCAGCAGUGGGGAAUAUUGGACAAUGGGCGAAAGCCUGAUCCAGCAACGCCGCGUGAGGGAUGAAUGCCUUCGGGUUGUAAACCUCUUUCAGUGGGACGAAGCGAAAGUGACGGUACCGCAGAAGAAGCACCGGCCAACUACGUGCCAGCAGCCGC